UACGUAGGUGGCAAGCGUUGUCCGGAUUUACUGGGCGUAAAGAGCGCGCAGGCGGUCGUUCAAGUCGCGUGUGAAAGCCCCCGGCUCAACUGGGGAGGGUCACGCGAUACUGAUCGACUCGAAGGCAGGAGAGGGAAGUGGAAUUCCCGGUGUAGUGGUGAAAUGCGUAGAGAUUGGGAAGAACACCGGUGGCGAAAGCGCUCUACUGGGCCUGCACUGACACUGAGGGACGAAAGCUAGGGGAGCGAAAGGG
rnacentral:rRNA from 1 species